AUGUGCGGUCCUCAUAUUCAUCCGUCGUAGAGGUUAUUCAAGCUGUCUACCUCGUUCUCGCAUUCUAGUGCAAGCUUGGUUAACCUCUGCGUAAGAUGAAUGUGCGGACAAAAUCUAAAAACAUGAUCUAAACCGCGCUCGUUUUACUUAGCCGACAGCAUAACAGCGUCCCUAGAAGGAGAACAAGACAAGGAGAACCACGCCUUAGCUAUCAAAUUCACGGAACCACACGAAGAAAAUACUUUUCAAUGACAUAUAUACUACAGGCAAUCAAAACAACACAAGAGGACCGCGAUCGCACAUUUUUAUUUGUCUUUCCGUGGGAACUCGAAUGUUUCCAGGAGAAACAGAUUUUUACAUUUUUUUCUUUUAAACUUCAGUUACGGGAGUUCCCUCGCAUAGGCAUAUCUGUGUGGUCAGACGUGCAGACGCCCACAGGGAGGGGAAAGCAAAGCACAAUGCCCCCAUUCAUAAACAAAACACCCACACAGAUCCUCACAAGUUCCCAGGGCAUUUGAGUGCAAAUCUGGAAGAAAUGAUGCUUCUAUCCACUGACAUUGAGCACAUUCUGUUCCAGGCCAAGGCUCAUUUCCAGUUUUGAUAGGAAGUUGAAAAAAGCCACAUGGUUUGGCCAACUUCCAAAACCUUGACUGUGUUUUGAAGAAAAUCAGAUUCCAAGUCCAACAGAGCAAGUUGGGGUCAAACUGGACACAGGAUUGAGGACACAGACCUACUUUUUGUCGAUGCAACAGUUUGGCCACAGCUAGCCAUUUUGUACGAACUUAUCCAUAAUUAUUUUACUAAUUAAUUACUUAACUGCAGUGUCCAACGAAUCAAACAAAAUAAAGUCAAAUCAGACAAGUGCCCGAGGACAAGUCUGAAAGAAACUAGUUUCAAUCCAAUAUGGUGGAAGUCCAGUCGGGCCAACAUCAGGCAAGUAUCGCAGAAUCCAAAUUCAGCACUCCAGCUCAGUGUCAUGACAAGUGUGCAAGGCUGCAGGGCUCUGAAGCUACACAAUGUGCUAAUGAGACCGGACUUCAGACCUCACUCUCAGCCAUGGAUAUCACCACUUAGAAAUUUAACGUAAACAAUUAAUUAAUCAGUGUCUGCAAGUAAAUAUGCGUUUAGGUUAUAUG